rnacentral:rRNA from 1 species
AUUGAACGCUGGCGGCAGGCCUAACACAUGCAAGUCGAGCGGAUGAAGGGAGCUUGCUCCUGGAUUCAGCGGCGGACGGGUGAGUAAUGCCUAGGAAUCUGCCUGGUAGUGGGGGAUAACGUCCGGAAACGGGCGCUAAUACCGCAUACGUCCUGAGGGAGAAAGUGGGGGAUCUUCGGACCUCACCCUAUCAGAUGAGCCUAGGUCGGAUUAGCUAGUUGGUGGGGUAAAGGCCUACCGAGGCGACGAUCCGUAACUGGUCUGAGAGGAUGAUCAGUCACACUGGAACUGAGACACGGUCCAGACUCCUACGGGAGGCAGCAGUGGGGAAUAUUGGACAAUGGGCGAAAGCCUGAUCCAGCCAUGCCGCGUGUGUGAAGAAGGUCUUCGGAUUGUAAAGCACUUUAAGUUGGGAGGAAGGGCAGUAAGUUAAUACCUUGCUGUUUUGACGUUACCAACAGAAUAAGCACCGGCUAACUUCGUG